AGAACAGCGCACGGAAACGCCGUUUACCUUCCCGCCGGAACGGGACCUAUUUAUCUACUUGCACUUUGACGUGCUUUCGAACUGCUAGGUGGGCAGGAGCAGGGACCGAGCAAGGGGAGCGCACCCCGUCACGGGGAUUCGAACGGCCGACCUUCUGAUCAGCAACUCCUAGGCUCUGUGGUUUAACCCACAGCGCCAGUAAUUCUAUCUGAGACCUAAAUCUUCCUGUUUCAGAAACAUUUUCUCUUUUUGUCCUCCAGGUAUUCUCACAAUUUCACUUCGGAGUGUCAAAACAAGGUCUCUGAGGGCAGCUGCCUCCAGGCGUGUUGACAAGCCGGGUCCCUGGGUGGGGCACCUUGUUUUCCCCCCCGGACGGAAGAACCUGGAGGGCGUCCAGGCCGGCUGUUCAGGAAUCUGCCGGGCAGCAGAAGAUGUCGGUCCACAAAUUUGCCCCAGGAAGCGGAGCCUGACUCAGCUCAGAUGCUUUCCCAAGAGGCACAUUCCGUUCCCAAAAGCACCCAGCCGUGCCAAGUCACCGUUUGCCAGGUGGGCACCCUCAGCCUCAUGAACAACUUGGCCACGAUCAGGAAAUUUGGCCCGUGGCGUGGGUAUUUUCCACCUUCCCAUCUCAACUCUCUGGCUCCCUAUCUGUACAAGCUAGCAAUUCUAAAAUAUAGACGCGCCUGGACUAAAAUUGUCUAUCAAAAACUCUUGUGGUUUGUCACUACAACAGCUACUCAAUUUGGGUUUUAGUAAAGCAAACAGUCCAGUUUGUCGGCGCCUAAAUGAUAUCGAGCGUCGGAACAACUGGGCCACUAUAAGGAAAUUUUGCCAUGGCACGACUAUUUUCCACCUUCCCAUUUUGACUCUCUGGCACCUGAUUUGCAUAACCGAGCAAUUCUAAAAUAUAGAUGCGCUUUGACUCUCGCGAGAUUGAAUGUCUUGCCCUCGGCUGGACUUGAGGGACGAUGCCAACAUAUGCCACACGAAAAACGACCCUGCGGAGAUGGCAGUCCCGAAUCGGUGGCGCAUGCCCUUCUGGCUUGCCCUCUUGAUAAAGACUUGAGGAAUGAGAUUAUCACCCCUCUUUUAUUGUCCAUUCCGGGUCGCCCAACCACUGCCCCAGUGACCUUUCUCUGGGCAGAUCAAGAUGAGCAGGUGACGGCAAAGGUGGCAAGGUUUUUAGCUGGGGCAAUCGGAAUAAGAUCCACUAUUUGACCAUUGAUUCAAAUCCCUAAAAUGUAUUUUAUAUCACUGACUUUUUAUUUCUAUUCUUUGUAUAUCUUAUUGAUGUUUUAUUGCUAUGGCUGGCGGCCGACGCAAAAAAAGAUUUAUUAAUUCAUUCAUUCACCCUGAGCCUCCCCAAAAAUCCCUUCUCCCGUCGCCCCGGCAAAAGAGCUUCCCUCUGCCAUGAGCGAAAAUAAAGCCCCUAUUAAUUAUUAGGAUUCGAGCUCCUCGCCUUAUGCCUUGGUUUCAAAAAUGGUUAAUAAUAAUAAUAAUUUUAUUAUUUAAACCCAGUCCUUUUUUCUGGGGGGGACGUAGGGGUACGCAUGCCCCUAAACAUGUUGUGAAUCUAAGUUGUUUGUUGUUUGUUUGUUGUUGUGGUUGUUGACCCUGCCCUGAAAAAAUCCCUGCCAGAGAGGAACGGCAAACUAAGUGGAUGGACUGCGCCGAAAUGGCAAAGGCUAUCCGGGAAACCCAGGAAUCGAGAGGACAAAAACUUUUUUAAAAAAAUAAUAAUAAUGGGAAAAAUACAUUUCCCCCAAAAAGCGGGACUUUCUGGGAUCGAAGCAGAAACCAGGGCGGCUUCUGGGAUUCCUGGGAAAUAGGGACACUGGGAGCGCCUGUUCCGCUUUAGAUGAGCAAGGAGGGCGAGAACUCGGAGGCAUAUAGAUAGCAAGCGCCGUUUUAUUUUUAACCGGGUGGUCUCGGAAAUAUUUCCCCUGGUGCUAUAAAUACCCGGAAAAACGCCCUGUUGUUGAUGAAACCCGAUCCAGAGAUGUCUCUGUCCGGACUCGAUGUGCUGACCUGGGUCUGGGAUCCGGGAUCGGGGCCAUCGGAAGUGACUAGGGUGCCUCUGAUAUUCUUACUUUACAUUAUUACAUUCAGUUACACAUUUGAACAUUCUCAGCACUCCGUUCCCAACGCUUAUCGCUUCCAACGCUAUAUAUGUAAACCUCUAUGUAUAUCGAUUUUCCUUACUCCCUUCGCCACUUUACGCAAUCACACAAUCUGCCAAUCAGUAGCUGAACUGGGUUCCACACAGUCACAGAAACAAGCGAAAAAGCCUCAAAAACCCACAAAAUAAAGCGCAAAAACAAAAGCACCAAGCUUUCUGGAAAUCCGUUUGACUUCUGAAAUGUUCGGAAACCGAGGCGCGGCUUCUGAUUGACGCAGGCGCCCCGGAAACAAUAGCCGACAGCUGCGUCGGACAUCCGGCUUCCAAAAAGCAUUAAAAAACCAGAACACUCUGUGGGGGUGCACUGGGUUUUCAGCCUUUGGGAACCAAGUCCCACUGUACUUAAAUAGGUAUUUCUGGACCUAAAAUUCCUAAUAAAAAAGCUUCAUUUUACAAAAGUUAUUUUUAGCAUUAUUUUUUUCAACUCGUUAUAAAUCAUUUCCCAAGAUGCUUUUGUUGUGUGUGUUUUUAACACCCUCUGAAGCUGAUCACCGGCCCGCCAACCCCUGACCCCAGCCUGCUCUCUGGACCAGAGAAAACCUCGCAUGUCCGAAAGCUCAGGCGCUCAAGGGAUGAUCUCCGCUUGGCAAAACGGGGGGCAAAAACACAAAUCUCUGCCGACCGGCAAAGUUCACUCAAAGAGAACUGGCUGCAAAUGGUGGACUUUAGCCGAAAAGUUCAGGGUUCGAUGUGACGCGAGACAGAGGAGAAUUUUCCCGUAAGGCGGGACCCCAUCUCUUCCUCUCUGUCCGCAAACACGUCAGAAAAGCCGCCUUGAAUAUUGAAUAUUUGCAGAACAAUUGCAAACAGGCAAAAAAACCAUUGGCAGGACUCUUUUUAAAAAAAUGCUGCAUUGGUUGAAAACUGUACAACAGAAAAAAAUCAUGUUAAAGGCAAGAUAAAAAUAAACCAUUAUUAAUUUCUU